AAUGUCAGUGAUUUUUCACAGUUGACAUAAAUAGGUAACAAUUGUUAUAAACUGCUACUCUAAAUAGCAAUGACUGCUAUGCUUUUAAUAACUGUUACUUUUACUGCUACUGGCUGUGACCAAACAACCGUAUACACAUUAUCACCGUCACUGUUAUUUUCACCGCUACUCACUAGUAGCAAGUAUUUUCACUGGUACUUAAUAUGCGAUCAUGAAUAAGUAGUAAUCACUGCUAUAUUAACUUAGCCAUCUCUAUAGCUAUAGCCUGGUACCUAUUUAUACCUAUUUAAAAACCGAUAUACUUAAUAAUAAUCGGUAAUCCGAUCAGCGGGGAAACGACAUUUUAUUUCAACUUCGAUAAUAGAACUCAGUAAGACUAUGGUGGAGUACGGUCAGUAAUCGUAUAGUUAAUAAAUGCUAGUGAGCGAAUAUAAUGCCGUAAUUUUUACC